CUCUACAGCCAUAUCACCCUAAAUGCGCCCUAUCUCGUCUGAUCUCAGAAGCUAAGCAGGGUCGGGCCUGCUUAGUACUUGGAUAGGGGACCACCUGGGAAUACCGGGUGCUGUAGACU
ensembl:rRNA 5S_rRNA 5S ribosomal RNA